AAGUCGUAACAAGGUUUCCGUAGGUGAACCUGCGGAAGGAUCAUUAAAUAAUUUAGAUGGCCUCCUAGAACUUGUUCUAGUUAGGUUCAUUCUUUUUUACUGUGAACUGUUUUAAUUUUCAGUGUUUGAGGAAUGUCUUUUAGUCAUAGGGAUAGACUAUUAGAAUGUUAACCGAGCUGAAGUCAGGUUUAGACCUGGUAUCCUAUUAAUUAUUUACCAAAAGAAUUCAGUAUUAUUAUUGUAACAUAAGCGUAAAAAACUUAUAAAACAACUUUUAACAACGGAUCUCUUGGUUCUCGCAUCGAUGAGAAGC
rnacentral:misc_RNA from 1 species